GGUGGCUCAGUGGUAGAGCGCUUGCCUCGCAUGCAUAAGGCCCUGGGUUCAAUUCCUCAGCACCA
rnacentral:tRNA from 1 species